GUAGCUCAUUUAGUAGAGUGCUUGCCUAGCAUGCAGGAAGCCUUGGGUUCCAUUCCCAGC
rnacentral:tRNA from 1 species